rnacentral:rRNA from 1 species
AUUGAACGCUGGCGGCAGGCUUAACACAUGCAAGUCGAGCGGGGGAAGGUAGCUUGCUACCGGACCUAGCGGCGGACGGGUGAGUAAUGCUUAGGAAUCUGCCUAUUAGUGGGGGACAACAUCUCGAAAGGGAUGCUAAUACCGCAUACGUCCUACGGGAGAAAGCAGGGGAUCUUCGGACCUUGCGCUAAUAGAUGAGCCUAAGUCGGAUUAGCUAGUUGGUGGGGUAAAGGCCUACCAAGGCGACGAUCUGUAGCGGGUCUGAGAGGAUGAUCCGCCACACUGAGACUGAGACACGGCCCAGACUCCUACGGGGGGCAGCAGUGGGGAAUAUUGGACAAUGGGGGGAACCCUGAUCCAGCCAUGCCGCGUGUGUGAAGAAGGCCUUAUGGUUGUAAAGCACUUUAAGCGAGGAGGAGGCUACUCUAGUUAAUACCUAGGGAUAGUGGACGUUACUCGCAGAAUAAGCACCGGCUAACUCUGUGCCAGCCGCCGCAGUAA